rnacentral:sRNA from 1 species
GCUGGGCAUGGUGGUGCAUGCCUGUAAUCCCAGCUACUCGGGAGGCUGAGGCAGAAUAAUUGCUUGAACCCAGGAGGUGGAGGUUGCGGUGAGCCGAGAUCGUGCCAUUGCACUCCAGCCUGGGUAACAAGAGCAAAACUCUGCCUCAA